UGUCUCUUAAACCAGUGCUCCUUCCGCUAUCUCACAGUGCUUUUAAAAGCAACAUGGAGAGAGAGAAAGAGAGAAAGAGAGAAAGAGAGAAAGAGAGAAAGAAA